AUGUUCAAAACAGUAACACAUUUAUUAAAACUGGAACAACACAAAGAAAAUGUAUACAAUCCCUACAUAAGGAUGAAAUGGAAAUUAAUGGAAGCAUUCCAUCGUUUU
rnacentral:snRNA from 1 species